rnacentral:rRNA from 1 species
CCGAAGAGGUUGUAGCGUGAAGGAUGACUGCCCUAUGGGUUGUAAACUUCUUUUAUACGGGAAUAAAGUGAGGCACGCGUGCCUUUUUGUGUGUACCGUAUGAAUAAGGAUCGGCCAACUCCGUGCCAGCAGCCGCGGUAAUACGGAGGAUCCGAGCGUUAUCCGGAUUUAUUGGGUUUAAAGGGAGCGUAGGCGGACGCUUAAGUCAGUUGUGAAAGUUUGCGGA